rnacentral:rRNA from 1 species
AAAUUGAAGAGUUUGAUCAUGGCUCAGAUUGAACGCUGGCGGCAGGCCUAACACAUGCAAGUCGAACGGUAACAGGAAGCAGCUUGCUGCUUCGCUGACGAGUGGCGGACGGGUGAGUAAUGUCUGGGAAACUGCCUGAUGGAGGGGGAUAACUACUGGAAACGGUGGCUAAUACCGCAUAACGUCGCAAGACCAAAGAGGGGGACCUUCGGGCCUCUUGCCAUCAGAUGUGCCCAGAUGGGAUUAGCUGGUUGGUGAGGUAACGGCUCACCAAGGCGACGAUCCCUAGCUGGUCUGAGAGGAUGACCAGCCACACUGGAACUGAGACACGGUCCAGACUCCUACGGGAGGCAGCAGUGGGGAAUAUUGCACAAUGGGCGCA